rnacentral:tRNA from 1 species
GUCACUUUGCCGGAGUGGUUAACGGGAUCGCCUGCUAUCUUCUCGUAGUUCCAAGCGGUUGGGCUUUGCCCGCGUGUGUUCGAAUCGCACAGGUGACG